rnacentral:rRNA from 1 species
GAUGAACGCUAGCGGCAGGCUUAACACAUGCAAGUCGAGGGGCAGCGCGGGAUAGCAAUAUCCUGGCGGCGACCGGCGGAAGGGUGCGUAACGCGUGAGCGACAUGCCCGUUGCCCGGGGACAACCGGUGGAAACGCCGACUAAUCCCCGAUGGGAUACGAUGCUUCAUGGCAUUGUAUUGAAAGUUACGGCGGCGACGGAUUGGCUCGCGUCCGAUUAGCUGGUUGGCGGGGUAACGGCCCACCAAGGCUGCGAUCGGUAGGGGUUCUGAGAGGAAGGCCCCCCACAAUGGGACUGAGACACGGCCCAGACUCCUACGGGAGGCAGCAGUGAGGAAUAUUGGUCAAUGGGCGGAAGCCUGAACCAGCCAUGCCGCGUGCGGGAAGGAGGCCCUAUGGGCUGUGAACCGCUUUUGCCUGGGGGCAAUAAGGGCGUCGCGCACGUCCGAUGAGAGUACCAGGCGAAUAAGCAUCGGCUAACUCCGUG